rnacentral:rRNA from 1 species
GACGAACGCUGGCGGCGUGCUUAACACAUGCCAGUCGAACGGAAAGGCCCUGCUUUUGUGGGGUGCUCGAGUGGCGAACGGGUGAGUAACACGUGAGUAACCUGCCCUUGACUUUGGGAUAACUUCAGGAAACUGGGGCUAAUACCGGAUAGGAGCUCCUGCUGCAUGGUGGGGGUUGGAAAGUUUCGGCGGUUGGGGAUGGACUCGCGGCUUAUCAGCUUGUUGGUGGGGUAGUGGCUUACCAAGGCUUUGACGGGUAGCCGGCCUGAGAGGUUGACCGGCCAAAUUGGGACUGAGAUGCGGACCAGACUCCUACGGGAGGCAGCAGUGGGGAAUAUUGCACAAUGGGCGGAAGCCUGAUGCAGCAACGCCGCGUGCGGGAUGACGGCCUUCGGGUUGUAAACCGCUUUCGCCUGUGACGAAGCGUGAGUGACGGUAAUGGGUAAAGAAGCACCGGCUAACUACGUG